rnacentral:rRNA from 1 species
GACGAACGCUAGCGGCGUGCUUAACACAUGCAAGUCGAAUGGAAAGGCCCUGCUUUUGUGGGGUGCUCGAGUGGCGAACGGGUGAGUAACACGUGAGUAACCUGCCCUUGACUUUGGGAUAACUUCAGGAAACUGGGGCUAAUACCGGAUAGGAGCUCCUGCUGCAUGGUGGGGGUUGGAAAGUUUCGGCGGUUGGGGAUGGACUCGCGGCUUAUCAGCUUGUUGGUGGGGUAGUGGCUUACCAAGGCUUUGACGGGUAGCCGGCCUGAGAGGGUGACCGGCCACAUUGGGACUGAGAUACGGCCCAGACUCCUACGGGAGGCAGCAGUGGGGAAUAUUGCACAAUGGGCGGAAGCCUGAUGCAGCAACGCCGCGUGCGGGAUGACGGCCUUCGGGUUGUAAACCGCUUUCGCCUGUGACGAAGCGUGAGUGACGGUAAUGGGUAAAGAAGCACCGGCUAACUACGUG